GGAUUGUGGCUCAGUGGUAGAGCACUUGCCUAGCAUGUGUAAGGCACUGGGUUCGAUUCUCAGCACCA
rnacentral:tRNA from 1 species